AAUACUACCACAGGUGAAAUCCU
rnacentral:siRNA from 1 species